rnacentral:rRNA from 1 species
GACGAACGCUGGCGGCGUGCUUAACACAUGCAAGUCGAGCGAGGCCCCUCCUUCGGGAGGGUGUCCUAGCGGCGAACGGGUGAGUAACACGUGGGCAACCUGCCCUCAGCUCUGGGAUAACUCCGGGAAACCGGGGCUAAUACCGGAUACGACCUCCACGGGCAUCUGCGGAGGUGGAAAGUUUUUCGGCUGAGGAUGGGCCCGCCGCCUAUCAGCUAGUUGGUGGGGUAGUGGCCCACCAAGGCGACGACGGGAAGCCGGCCUGAGAGGGCGACCGGCCACAGUGGGACGGAGACACGGCACAGACUCCUACGGGAGGCAGCAGUGGGGAAUAGUGCGCAAUGGGCGAAAGCCUGACGCAGCGACGCCGCGUGAGGGACGAAGGCCUUCGGGUUGUAAACCUCUUUCAGCAGGGACGAAGCGAAAGUGACGGUACCUGCAGAAGAAGCACCGGCCAACUACGUG